rnacentral:miRNA from 11 species
CAGUACCAUUGUAACACUCUCA